rnacentral:lncRNA from 1 species
UUUUUUUUUUUUUUAAAGAUUGUAUUUAUUUAUUCAUGAGAGGCACACAGAGAGAGGCAGAGACAUAGAGGGAGAAGCGGGCUUCUCCAGUGGACUCGAUCCUGGGUCUCGGGGACCAUGCCCUGAGCUGAAGGCAGACACUCAACCACUGAGCCACUCAGGCAUCCCAGCAACAUGGAAUCUUAAAAGGGACCUGUGAGGAGAUGCCAUGAGCUCAUUACACUCUGCUAUCAGAAGCUCUUUCUCCCCGACAAAAGCCAGAGACCCCACUGUUUUCCCAGAAAGGCCUAGCCUGGACCCCCAAGGGCAACAGUGACUGUUGAUUGUGGGAAAGAAGUGUCUUGUGUCAAAUAAAGCUGAAUGUACAUGCAUACUUCACGAGACAAUAAUUUCAUCCAACACAUUCAUAAAUUUAUCAAAAAUCUUGUACAAGAUUAUUCAUAGCAAUACUGUACAUGAGAGCCUAAUACUUGAAAGUACCCAAAUGACCAUUAACAGAAGGAUAGGAAAGUAAUAGUGGUGUAUUCAUUCAAUGGAAAACUGCACAUCAGUGAGAAUGAAUGAACUACAACCAUGUGUUGAGGCAGAUGAAUCCCACUAUCAUAAUAUUGAGUGAAAGAAGCCAGGCACAAAUGACUACAUGCUCUAUGAUUCUAUUUACAUAAAUUUCAAAGCAGGUGAAUCACAUAGAUGCUGUUAAAAGUCACGAGAGUAGGGGUGCCUGGGUGGCUUAGUCACUUAGGCAACUGCCUUCAGCUCAGGUCAUGAUCCCAGGGUCCUGGGAUCGAGCCCCAUGUCUGGCUCCCUGCUCAGUGGGGAGCCUGCUUCUCCCUCUCCCUCUGCAGCUCUCCCUGCUUGUGCUCAUUCUCUCUCUCCUUCUCUCUCUCUCUCUCUCUCUGUCAAACAAAUAAAUAAAAUCUUUAAAAAAUAAAUAGUCAUGAGAGUAUAAUGGAUCAAGAAAAAAUGAUAUACACACACAGAGGAAUACAAUUCAGUCAUUUAAAAGAAGGAAGUGCUGCCGUUUGUGACAACAUGGAUGGUCCUAGAGCGGAUUAUGCUAAGUGAAAUAAGUCAGACAAAGACAAAUACAACAUGAUCUCACAAGCAAAAUCUAAAAAAACUAAAACCAAAACCAAAUUCGUAUAAACAGAUCAGAUUUCUGGUUGCCAGAAGCAGGGGAUAGGGUAGUUGGAGGAAUUUGGUGAGGGUAGUAAAAAGGUACAAACUCUAGUUAUAAGAUAAUUAAGUCCUGGGAUGUAAUGUACAGCAGGGAGACUAUAGUUAGCAAUCUUAUAUGGCAUGUUUGAAAGUUGCUGAGAGUAGAUCUUUAAUGAGUUCUCUUUAUAAGGAAAAGAAACUUGUAACUGUGAGGUGAUGGGUGGUACCUGGACUUAUUGUAGCGAUCAUUUCACAAUAUACACAUAUAUCAAGUCAUGUUUAUACUUUAAACUUAGAUAAUGUUAUAUAUGCUACUUAUAUCUCAAUAAAACUGGAAAAAAGGUCAAGAGAGUACUGACCCUCGGAAGGGGGAAUAUUGACAGGAAGAGCGUAUCUUCUGGGGUGCUAGUAAGGCUCUGCUUCUUGAUCUGGGUGCAGGUUACAUGCAUGUGUCCAGAUAAUGAAACCUUACCAAACUAGACAUUAUUUUUGUGAUUUUUUCUAUGUGUAUGUUAUACUCCAAAUUUUAAAAAUUACUAGAAUGUUACCCCCCUCACCCCCACAGACACACACACACUGCAAAGAUGGCUUAUGGCAAGUCCUCUGAAAGAGAGGUCAUAUAUUACGUCUAGGUGAAACAGUUCCUAGAUCUGUGACAAUAUGAUGAUCCCCAUGCCAUGCCAAAUGAAUACAGCAUUCUCCCAGUGAUGACACAACAUCUAAUUAACUGCCUGGAGCCAAAGAAGAAGGCUUUGGAAUGAAUUCUGAUUCCAGGAUUCUCUUACACUUGCUCUGGAUUGUGGGCCCUGAUCUUCACAAAACACUUUACGCCACAUAAUUGGGGAGGUUUGGUUUCAAGUCUACUUAAUGAAUUUAAAGAGAAUAAUCCCUGGAUUUCCCAAGUUUUAGAUACAUCAGCCCAUUGAGAGUUGAUCCCAGCUUUGUUUUAGAUAAACUAUAUUCCUGGGCACCUCAAUCUGAAAUACCCUGUGAAGUUUGUUUUCCCUAAUUGGAAAUGCAAGUAAAGAUAACCUAAGGCCUGGAAGCAUGUAUUGAUGUUGUCAUCAACGGUUUAUAGCACCGACAGAAAUCAAACCUGGCCCAAGUCGUACAGUCUCAUUAUUGACCCAAGCCUAUUUAAUUCUCUUUCAAAGACUUUAGUGCAAGACUCAGACUGCAAAACAUGCCGUUAUUUCUCACAAAAUUACCAACGACAUGAAAAAUAUCUGUGCCCUACAUCCAUUCUGAUAGUUUUUAGAUGAUUUGAAUUUAUUUUUGUCUGCUGUAGCAGAAAAAGAUGGUCAGCAUCUGCUCUCUAAAGAUGACGUAGCAUUCCCAGGAGGAGCCUCAUGAAGCAGUUUCUGUCACCAAAAACAGCUAAUGCCUAGUUAUGCCUGUGGCUGACUCAGCAGCCAUUCCCAACCCCCUCCUCCCCUGUCACUUUUCACUACAAGAAAAUGAAGAGUUAAAUAAUUUCCCAUCCUCUCCAAAGCUAGAGGUUGUCAUACUACACAGUUAUGGCCAAGGAGACUUUAGUAGAAGUUUUCUAGAAGGUUGUUUUGUUGGUUAGUGGGAAAACUAGUAGGUAUUUCCUUGAUUGUUUCUUCCUGCAUUGACUAUGAAUGAUGUCUGGAAGUGCACCUCUGUAUGCUAUAAGUCAACCUGCCAAGGAUAGGGAGGAGGGAAAACAGAAAGGGUGCAGACUGCCUGCCUCUUUACAUAAGGGACAUUGUGGAGACAGGAGCCAGCAUAUUCAGUAGAACAGUAGUAUAAACGAUCUAGACAGUAAAAUUGUAGUGAUCUACUUCCCAUGAGUUCCAGCACAUCAUGAAGAGCUAUCUGUAAAUUAGGCCUUCACUUUUGGUGGGAUGGGUUGGUCAAUUGUUCAUAGGGAAUUUCCCAUGAUGCCAUAGAUGUGUCUGUAGGAAGAGGAGGCAAUGCAGUUGGACUAUGUGCUAUAGAAGUCUGAGUCCCCUGCAAAUUUGUCUUACUUGGACCUCCUGUAGGACCUGCUUGAGCUUGAUCAUUUGAUUUAUAUAUUUACACUUGAUGAUGAAUUGUGCUUAUGCAUGUCUAACCUUAUGACUUGAAGGGUCCAAUGACACUCAAUUCAUGAUGAACAGCUCAGAUCACAUGGAGGCCCUUGGUCAGACAUUCAGAAAGUACCAGGACCACAUAGCAAGCAAGAAGUUACUUGUCAGAGGAAUAAUUGUCUUUAGAAGAGAGAUGAGUUUUUCUUCAAAAUCCCAAGGCUCUCCACAGUGAUGCAUGUCAGAAGACAUGUAAACUUCAAAAACUUUGUGUGAUAAAUGGGUCUGAAAAUCAUAUUCCAAUGUCAUUUGUUGCCUCCAAAAUCUAAAGAAGCUUCCCCCUCAAAAAUGUUCUUCCAUUAUCUUUAGUGGUAGAUUAUACAAGGUACAGGCACUUAUCUUUCACAUUGAAAGGCAUAUCCCAUAUGACCUAGAUCAUAAGAAUUCCAGAUAUGUCACUGAGGUUGUAGUUCCUUGAAAUCUUAUGGAAUUUAUCUCCAAUCUUUUGGCACUAAUGUAUCUUAUUAAAAUUUCUAAGAUACUUGAUACCUUCUGAUUUUCAAGAGCAGCAGUGCCCAGUGUGAUAUUUUGUGCAUUGUCAAAAUGAUUAAUAUCUUUAGGUUAGAUUAUAGCAAAGAUUAGGAGAGUUGGCAUAGCCUGCAGGAAACAAUGAAGGUGUACUGAGCCCCUUGCCAGGUGAAAGAGAACCUUCCUGUACUCCUUUAAAUUGAUGGUGCUAAAAGCAUUUGCUAUACAAAUAGCUACGUAAUGGGUUCCAGGAGUUGUUUCAACCUGUUCCAGGAGAGAUUCCACAUCUGGAACAACAACUAUACUGCUAUUAGCACAUAACUGAACUUAACACUAUUCCAAUCAUUCUCCAAGAUCCAUGUACAUUCUGCAUAAGUCAGCAGACCAAAUCCACUGGGAUCUGAGCAGAAUUACCACCCUUGCAUUUUUUAAGUCUUUAAUGUUGCCACUAACCUUUGCAGUUUACCCUGA